UACGGGAGGUGCAAGUGUUAUUCCUCUUGCUUGGGCGUAUAGGGUAAGUAGGCAGUCAUUCAAGUUUUUAUUAAAAUGCUCAACGUGUAAAUUUUUUUCAUACUGUUUGACUAUCGUAUGCUUCGAGUUCCUGGAAGUUCGGAUCGAAGGUUUAAAUCUGUUUGUAGAUAAGUGGGAACGCCAAAGGUUGAUGCGCGGUUCUGAUGCAUACUGAAGCUAAGGUACGAAAGCAUGGGUAUCGACUGGGAUUUGAGACCCCAUUAGUCCACUGCUGUAAAUAAUGAGUGUUAAAUGUUUUUUCUCUAUAAUUAAUGUUACAGCUAACGCGUAAAACACUCCGCCUGGGAACUAUGAUCGCAAGAUUAAAACUUAAAGAAAUUGACGGGGACCAGUCACAAGCAGUGGAGCAUGUGAUUUAAUUCGAUACAACGCGAGGAACCUUACCAAUUCUUGUAUACAGUUGAUAAGUAGUGGAGCAAUGCGAUAUAAAAUCCUACUUUCUUUGCAUGUGCAAAGAUAUGUUAACUAGACGAUAGUGUGUGUACAUUUCUAUAUAGUACAUUUAAAAAACAUGUCGUCUAAUUUUUUGUAUGCUACUGUACAGGUGCUGCAUGGCUGUCGUAAGCUCGUGUCGUAGGAUGUCAGGAUGUUUUCCGGUAACGAGCGUAACCCUUUAUUAUAAUUGUGCUAACGAAUGUAGUCAUUUUUUAUAAUAUGUGAUAUGGAUGUAAUAUCUGUGUCUUUUUAGGAUGACGUCAAGUCAUUAUGGCCUUUAUGGAUUGGGCUAUACAUGUGCUACAAUGGUAAUUACAAAGAGAUGCGAUUGCGUGAGCAUGAGCGAAACUCGAACAGUUAUCUUUAGUUCGGAUUGUUUUCUGAAACUCGAAAACAUGAAGUAGGAAUUGUGAGUAAUCGUAUAUAAGAACGCUACGGUGAAGAUGUAGUCUGGUCU
rnacentral:rRNA from 1 species